UACGUAGGUCCCGAGCGUUGUCCGGAUUUAUUGGGCGUAAAGCGAGCGCAGGUGGUUUAUUAAGUCUGGUGUAAAAGGCAGUGGCUCAACCAUUGUAUGCAUUGGAAACUGGUAGACUUGAGUGCAGGAGGGGAAAGUGGAAUUCCAUGUGUAGCGGUGAAAUGCGUAGAUAUAUGGAGGAACACCGGUGGCGAAAGCGGCUCUCUGGCCUGUAACUGACACUGAGGCUCGAAAGCGUGGGGAGCAAACAGG
rnacentral:rRNA from 1 species